GAUGAACGCUGGCGGCGUGCCUAAUACAUGCAAGUCGAGCGAACAGACGAGGAGCUUGCUCCUUUGACGUUAGCGGCGGACGGGUGAGUAACACGUGGAUAACCUACCUAUAAGACUGGGAUAACUUCGGGAAACCGGAGCUAAUACCGGAUAAUAUUUUGAACCGCAUGGUUCGAUAGUGAAAGACGGCUUUGCUGUCACUUAUAGAUGGACCUGCGCCGCAUUAGCUAGUUGGUAAGGUAACGGCUUACCAAGGCAACGAUACGUAGCCGACCUGAGAGGGUGAUCGGCCACACUGGAACUGAGACACGGUCCAGACUCCUACGGGAGGCAGCAGUAGGGAAUCUUCCGCAAUGGGCGAAAGCCUGACGGAGCAACGCCGCGUGAGUGAUGAAGGUCUUCGGAUCGUAAAACUCCGUUAUUAGGGAAGAACAAACGUGUAAGUAACUAUGCACGUCUUGACGGUACCUAAUCAGAAAGCCACGGCUAACUACGUG
rnacentral:rRNA from 1 species